ACCCAUAGAGGCCCAUGUAGAGCAAACCCAUUGUAAUUUCUGUACAGCCCAUAAUAAAAGAAAAAAGAUCCAUUAACAGCAUCAACCCAUAAUAAAAAGGCCAAACCCGGCAAUCCAUGGCAUAAAUAGGACACAGAAUUGUGAGAGAUGCAAAGGAGAAGAAAACAGAUCUGAUGUGCAUGGGGAAAGCCUAUGCUCUCCUCACGCAGAGCAGAGGAAAGUGGAAGAUAUCAGAUUGCAAAAGAACAUGAAAUUUUCAAGAAGAAGCACUACAAGGCUGAACUAUACCUCAUCACCAAAGGUUAGUAUCUCAAUCUUUUCAAUCUACUUUCUCAAAUAGCAACAAAAAAUAACAGCAAUUUAGAACAAAGAAUAGGAGAAUUUAGAUCCAAGGAAAAGACAAUUAGGAUGAAAAAGAUGUCCUGCUACUUGUACUUAAUCAAAUAGCAGGGCGUGGCCUGGUUGCUCACUGUGGAGUAAUAGAUCCAGCACUUGGAGGUUCUCAUGUGGAA
rnacentral:lncRNA from 1 species